UCACGGGAAGAUGUCACAACACAACUCUAGACACAAAUUAAAAUAAUACAAGCUUUAUAUUACAAGCCAGGGGCCUCGAGGGCUCGAAUACACAAGAGUCAGCAGAAGCAAGAAUAUCUGAGUACAGACAUGAGUUAGACAAGUUUGCCUUAAGAAGGCUAGCACAAAAGCAACAUCGAUCAAAAAGGCAAGGCCUCCUGCCUAGGAGCCUCCUAACUACUCAUGGUCGUCGGCGGUCUUCAUGUAGUAGUAGGCAUCCUCGGGGUAGUAGUAGUCAUCAGUGGCGUCGUCUGGCUCCUGGGAUCCGUCAUCUGGUUGCAACAAUCGGGUAUGGGGGAAAAAGAAGUAGCAGAGCAACCGUGAGUACUCAUCCAAAGUACUCGCAAGACUUACAUCAGAUCUAAACUAAGCAUGCAUCUGUAUCAAAGGAAUGGGUUGUAUCUGUGGACUAAAAUGGAGAAUGCCAGAAGAGAAGGGGGAAAGCCUAGCCUAUCGAAGACUAUCAUCAUCUGGAAACCACCAUCUUGCAGCAACAGGAGGGAGUAGAGUAACAUAAGGUAAAGUAGCAGUAGAGUUAUCAACCUCGGCCAGAGAUCCUUUCUCGACUCCCUGCAAGAAAGCAAUCCCAGGGCCAUACUAUCCAGUUAUCAUCUCAUAUCCAAGUCUCAUCAUCAUCCAGUUCUCAUCGCAAGUAUCCAGUUCUAGUUGUAUCGAUCGGGAUACAACUCCAAGUGUCCGUUAUCGUAGGACAUGCUAUCGAUAGAUGUUUUCUUCCCUGCAGGGGUGCACCAACUUACCCACCACGCUCGAUUAACUCCGGCCGGACACACUUUCCUGGGUCAUGCCCGGCCUCGGCCAAACAAUACGCCGCAACCCGACCUAGGCAUAAUAGAGAGGCCAGCAUGCCGGACUAAACCUAUGCCCCCAGGGGUCAUGGGCCAUCUCCCCGGGAACUCCUACACGUUGCGUACGCGACCGAUGAGCAGACCUAGCUACCUCCUUCAACAAGGCAGGAGCUUACGCAGUCCAACCCGGCGCGCGCCGCUCAGUCGCUGACGUCUAUUAAGUUUCGGCUGAUGUAUACAACGCAGAACGCCCAUACUAUGCCCACGUGAUGGUUAGUGCUAUUAGGCCAGAGGCCCCUCGGAUCAAAUAUCCAAAUCAUAGUGGAUUAGGAACGCACGGUAACGAGCAGAGACUCACGAUCAAUGUGACCCCGUCGCCUCGUCUCGAGUACUUGCGGCAAGGGCUAAGAAUGCCCGGCCACGCCUCGUAAGUAUCUCGGAGGCACCUUCCAGGUCAACCCGACUCCACAUCACUCGCUAUUAAGGUCAUGUGGGUACCCCUCAGGGUCGACCCGUCUUUAGUAACAUGGUUCAGUGUAAAGUCAUAGUAACCAUAGUAACUGUGUGUCUAACACCAAAGGGAAAACCCGAGGAAUCACCCCCGGUGAAUUCCACUCGAUGUUGUCAUCAAGGUGAACGUAAGAGAAUCCACCCUCGAGGUUCACGUUUGAUGGGUUGCAUGACAGAGCCGUAACAGAAGUGGUUAAGGAGGAAAUCACCCUCGAUGACCUCGACCAUAUAGCUAUGCUAUGGAGACCUCAUCAGGAGUGAUGUAAGAGGUUCCACCCUCGGCACUCGAUGGUAACUUUGUAGAGUCGUACAACUAGGGGGGGUGAUGUGCGGUGUCGUGGCCUGGACGUCGAUUACGUUGAUCGAGUCAUCAAACAUAAAGCGAGGGAACUUGGACAAGGUGGGGUCACUGAUGGAUCUCUAACCAACCUAUACUAAGCAGUUUAGAAUAAGCAGGUAAGGUAUGAAAGCAGGUAACAAAAACAGGCUAUGCAUCAGAGUAGGAUCAUACAUAAAGGAGUAGCAGUUCUAAUGCAAGCAUGAGAGGGAAGGAAAUGGGCGAUAUCAGAAUGCUCAAGGGGGGUUUGCUUGCUUGGUUGCUCUGGCUAGGAGGGGGGUCGUCGUCGACGUAGUCGAUCACAAGGGCAGCAUCGGUCUCGGGAUCUACCGGAGAGAAGAGGGGGAAGAAACAAUAAAUAUAAAGCAAACAUAGCACCACAAAGCAUAACAUGGCAAUAAGAUGUGCCGGGUGUGACCUAACGCGGUAGGAGGUGAUACCGGCGAAGGGGGUAAACAUCCGGGAAAGUAUCCCCGGUGUUUCGCGUUUUCAGACAGAUGAACCUGAGGGGAAAGUUGCGUGUUUUCUAUGCUAGGGAUGUGUGGCGGACGAACGUGUUGCGUAUUCGAUUUCGUCUUGUCGUUCUGAGCAAUUUUCAUGUACAAAGUUUUUCGAUCCGAGCUACGGUUUGUUUUCUAUGAUUUUUUUUAAAGAUCUAAAGGUUUUCUAAAAAUUUCUGGAUUUAACUAAAAAUAAUAAUAAUAAACAUAAAAUUCUAUGGGUACACAGAAGUGUACCCAUCAUUUUAUACAUUGGGUAUGACAGGUGGGUCCAAGGCCCUGUUGACCUGGUCAAUGAUUGACCAGUCAACUAGCACUAUUCAGCGGGUCCCGGGUGUCAUGGACACGGAUUAAACUUUAACUAUUUAAGGAUAAUUAGAGGUGGGGCCCAUCAGUCAUUGGGCCAUUUGAUUAAUUAGGAGGGGGGUUGGCAUGCUAAUUAACCGAAGCAUGGGGCCGGCUGGGUUCGCGCGGGCGCAAGGCGCCGGCGGCCUCGCUCAACAGCGGCAAAGGGCGAGGAACAGGGGGAGGCCACGGGGGGCGGCGGCCCUGGUAGGCGUGGCCAGGCGCCGGCGGCGGCAGGGGGCGGUAGAGGGACGCGCGCAGGGGCAGCCGCGUGGCACCGGGAUUGGCGUGGCCUUCGCUCCGGCGGCUGCGGUAGCAGCAGGCAGGAGCGGGCGGCGCGCGGCCAGUGCGCGCAUGGCGUGGCCCUGGGUCUCAGGGGAGCGGCCGGGGAGGGCCGCCAUGGCGCAGGUGGGGGGAGGGGAGAGCGCAGGCAGGGGCGGGCGCUGGGAGGCUGCGGCGCGGCGUGGCGCAGCGAAGAGCAGUAGCAGUUGGGCAACAAGAGACACGAGCACAACGGCAAGGAGCAGCAGUUGGGCGCACUGGCGCGCGUGCGUAGUCAUAGCUGGGCAUGCUAGGCGCGGUCAGGAGCAGCAACAGUACGCGGGCGCGCGCGGACGUGGAGCUCUAGCGGCCAUGGAUGACGGAGCUCAUGGGGCGGUCGCUACAUCGACGGGAACUAGGGAAAAAGGCGGGGGAUCGGUGCUGCUCACUGCGGGAGGGCCGAUGGCGAGCUCGUAUGGGGCCGGGGACGACCGGGCGCGACGACUUGAGGUGACAGGAUGGCGGAGGACGAGGCGGAGGGAGCCGCCCGAUCCGGCGAAGGGGAGCUCCCGGGCUCGAACCGAAGGGGGAAUCAACGCGGACGACGACGACAGUCCUCCUGGAUGCCUCCGGGCGGCGCGGGGCGGCUGGUGGCCGGGGAAUCGAGGCGGAGACGGCGACGAUGGCGCUCAGCCAAUGUGGGGAAGAUGGAGCGAGCGAGAGGAGGGAGACAGCGCGCGAGUGGGCGAGUGGAUGCGGCGGUAGGUGGGGGAGGGGAGACCGAGGCGCCGGAGUGCCCUUAUCCCCUCACGCGUUGUUGCCG
rnacentral:lncRNA from 1 species